UCCCACCCUACCUCCCUGCCCCACUUCUGCGCCCUGGGUUCUGAAUUACCAGUCAGAUUCCCUCACUUCGCUGCUCGGAUCCCUUCAGCAUCCUUCCAUCUCACUAGGAAUAAAAUACAGAAUCUCGACCACACUUCGCAAGCCCUCGUCUGCUGUAUCCUUCCAGGCACACACUGGCUUCGUGGCAUCUCGGCUCUUCUCUCGUCUCCUGAAUCCUCUCCCUGUCACCUGUGGACCUGGCCGGGGCAGUUCCCUCGGGGGCCGUUUACCUGGGCUGUUUCUGCGCUCACGUACCCACAGGAGGUGCGUGGUAGAACACCAGGCAUGUGCGUGUUCUCCCCAUGGAGGCGGUGGAGAGACAGGACAGGCUGCAGGAGGAGGCCAAAGACAGAGUCUCAGGGCCCGGGACCCUCACCAUGUGGUUCGCUUUGGACAGAAAGAAAGGUGAAGCCACUAUGCACUGUGCUUUCCUUGACACACAAGCUGUGGGCAGGUGUGUGGCCUCGCGGGUGGUAUCCAAGGGCAGGCCCAAGACCUCAGGUGUCUCCCUGAAGGGAGAAGCCUCCCUGGGGCCCGCAUGUCCAGACUGCAGCAAGUCCUCUUCCACGCUCUGCCCGGAUGGCGUCCAGCAGCUGUGUCAGCAAGCUUCCUCUCCUGUUUCAAGCCUCUUUCCCCUCAGUAGGGCAGUUUUUCUGACCGAACCCUGACUGAUAGUUACAGAGACUGAGCAGAAAGGAGGGCAAACCCAGUCAUCCAGGUGCCCACGCUGGAGGGCACCCUAGGCCCAGGGAAGGGGGGGCCUCGGGCCCCGGCACCUGACUUCUGGACUGGGCCAGCUUCCCUGAAAUCCCGAGUCUGUGUGCAGCCCUCACACAUCACAGAUCCUUUCAACGAG
rnacentral:lncRNA from 1 species